AAACAAAGUUAUAGACAGUUUGUAAUAUUAAAAAUAAAAAAGUAGUUAGUGGAUGACUUGACACUAAAAAAUUAAACAUAUUUUAGUUUACACGGAAAAAAUAUGUUUAAAAGACACAAAGAUCCAGAAUCUAACUAGGGAUAUUUUAACUUUAAUACUAAAUAAACGUAGUCAACUGAAACAUCUCAGUAACUAUAGGAAUAGAAUUCAACCGAGACUCCGGCAGUAGUGGUGAGCGAAACUGGAUUAGACCUUUAUUAAUGUUUGUUUAAGUAAAAAGAUGUCCUUGGAGAAAGGUUACACGAAAAAAGGUGACAGUCCUGUAUUUCCACAACACAAACAAACAUUAAUAAUUUACUGAGUAAAACAAAAAAUGCAAUUUUGUUCAAAUAAAAAAAAACCACUUUUUAAGUCUAAGUAUUUUUUAGUGAUCAAUAGCGAAAAGUACUGCGAGGGAACGUUAAAAAAUAUCUUGAGAAAAAGAAAUGAAAACUGAAACUGACUACUUACAAGCUAUUGGAGAAGUUUAUCUUAUUUAAAAUAAUAAUAAUAAAACUUUAACAAUGUACCUUUUGCAUCAUGGGUCAGUGAGUAAAUAAACAAAGCAAACUUAAUUUCAAGUAGAAGUAGGUAAAGUGCUAGCAAAUAGUCUGUGCUAAGUUUUGUUUAUUUGACCCGAAAACAAGUGAUCUAGUUAUGAUCAGGUUGAAAAUGAUUGUGAAUAACAACAUUGGAGGACCGAACCCACGUAUGUGGCAAUAUACGGGGAUGAAUUGUAACUAGGGGUGAAAGGCCAAUCAAACUUGUUAUAGCUGGUUUUCUGCGAAAUCUAUGUAGGUAGAGCGUUACUAACACAAGUCAAUUGUUAAUUAAAGCACUAGAUAAUGUAGGGGGGUUAAACAGCUUUACUGAAUUUAUCUAAACUCAGAAAAACAAUUGUUAAUAUGAUAAUAGUAACAGACAGAAUAUAGGUGAUAAGGUCUAUAUUCGAGAGGAAAAGAGUCCAGAUAAUAAGCUAAAGUUUCUAAUUGGUUGCUUAGUGAGAAAAGUAAAUAUUUUAUGAAAAUAAUCGGGAGGUAGGCUUAGUAGCAGCCACCCUUUAAAGAAAGCGUAAAAGCUCACUGGUUAUAUGUAAAUAUUUCCUCAAAAUGUAUCGAAACUGAAGCUAACAGAACUGAAGCUAUUAAUUAAUUCUAUGGUAGCAGAACAUCUUGAAUGCAUAUAAAGGAAUGUUGUAAAACAAUUCUAAAUGUACCAACAAAGACUAUGCUGACAUGAGUAACGAAAAACAACGUGAGAAACGUUGUCACCGGAAGUCUAAGGGUUUUUCAGCUCGGAUUUUCCACUAGAAAGUUAUUCGGCCUCUAAAAUAUACUUUGAAAAAGGUAAUUGAUGAGAAAGUGAGCAUAUAAACACUUCGUCAAUAGAUUCCACAGUUAAUGAUUUCUGGCAGGACAAGAGUGCUGUGAACUGUAAAAACAGUUUGCAUGCGGUUAUACUCUCUUCCGUUGACGGGGUCUAGAAAAAUUGCUCUGAAAAUAAUCUUUUAGUUAAACUAAUAUUUUUAACUUGAAAACUGGAAAUUAGUUUUUAGGUUUAGCUUUUAGGUAUUUGGUAGUGAAAACAAGUUUAUUUUAAUAACCAAUUUUUUGGUUAUUAAAAUAACUUAACAAUUAGCGUUUAAUUUUAACAGUCGAAAGCAAUGCUAGUUGUUUAACUAUCUAACUAUAUAUUUAUAAAUUUAUAUAUUUAAAUAGUUAGUCUCUCUAGCCGGUAUUAGUUGAUACUAAUUAACGAUACUGAAUGCCAUCAGUUAGUUAUAUUCAAUAAAAUACUGUUUCACCAAUCUUUAUUAAAAAAUAAAUGAUAUAGGUGACAAAACCGGUCCUCGCGUAGGAGAUUCUAGUACCAACGCCGCCAAUCCUUUAAGUUACUGUUGUAGUUAUCGCUUCAUGUGUUAAUUAUACAACAGUAUUUUUUUGUAGGACUAAGAUUGUAUUAUUUAUUUAUAAUUGAUAAAUAAUGCUGCAAAAAAAUACCCUAAAAGAUACAACCGUACCCCAAACUGACACAGGUAGACUUAUAGAAAAUAUUAAGGUGAUCGAAAUAACAAUACUGAAGGAACUCGGCAAAAUAGCUCCGUAACUUCGGGAGAAGGAGUACUAUAUAGACAAUAGUGGCACUGAAGAGAGGAAGGCGACUGUUUAACAAAAACACAGGAUCUUGCAAAAUCUACAAGAUGAUGUAUAAGAUCUGAAACCUGCCCGGUGCUAGAAGAAGAAUAAAUUUUAUGUUAAGUUUAAUUUAUAACUCCUAGUAAACGGCGGCCGUAACUAUGACGGUCCUAAGGUAGCGAAAUUCCUUGUCGGGUAAGUUCCGACCCUGCAUGAAUGGUAAAACGACCUUCCUACUGUCUCCAGUAUUGAUUCGGUGAAAUUGAAAUUUCCGUGAAGAUGCGGAGUACUCACAGCUAGACGGAAAGACCCCGUGCACCUUUACUAUAACUUUACUUCGCAUUUUAGAAAGUUUGAUGUAAAGCAUAGAUAAGAGUUUGGGAUUCCUUAUAUCACGUAAUAUAAUUGUUGAAACUUCUUUGUAAUACCAUCCAUUAAGCUAUCUUUAUGCUAAGAAACAUUGUUUGACAUAGUAUGGUUGGUAGUUUGAUUGGGGCGAUCGCCUGCUAAAUAGUAACGGAGGCGUACAAAGGUAGACUUUAACUGGACGGAAAUCAGUUAUUAAGUUUAAUGGCACAAGUCUGCUUAACUGAAAGACAUACUAGUCUGACAGAGACGAAAGUCGGUCAUAUUGAUCCGGUAUUUUCUUAGUGGAAAGAAUAUCGCUCAACGGAUAAAAGGUACGCCGGGGAUAACAGGCUAAUAACUCCUAAGAGACCUAAUCGUCGGAGUUGUUUGGCACCUCGAUGUCGGCUCAUCACAUCCUGGAGCUGUAGGUGGUUCCAAGGGUUUGGCUGUUCGCCAAUUAAAGUGGUACGCGAGCUGGGUUCAGAACGUUGUGAAACAGUUUGGUCCCUAUCUACUGUGAGAUAAAGAAAGUAAAGAAAGGUUCUUUUCUAGUACGAGAGGACCGAAAAGAAUACACCCCUAGUCAAUUGGUUGUUAAAUCAGUAGCAUUGCCAAGUAGCCACGUGUGAUAAAAUAAUUACUGAAUUCAUCUAAGUAAGAAGUUUUCUUUCCUACUUUCUUCAUAGAGUAGUUGUAGACCACAACUAUAGGUUAUCUAUGUAAGCACAGUGAUGUGCUUAGUUGAAUAAUACUAUUAAUCUCGACUAUUUUUAAUAAACAAUAC
rnacentral:rRNA from 1 species